rnacentral:rRNA from 1 species
GAUGAACGCUGGCGGCGUGCCUAAUACAUGCAAGUCGAGCGAACAGACGAGGAGCUUGCUCCUCUGACGUUAGCGGCGGACGGGUGAGUAACACGUGGAUCACCUCCCUAUCAGACUGGGAUAACUUCGGGAAACCGGAGCUAAUACCGGAUAAUAUAUUGAACCGCAUGGUUCAAUAGUAAAAGUCGGUUUUGCUGUCACUUAUAGAUGGAUCCGCGCCGCAUUAGCUAGUUGGUAAGGUAACGGCUUACCAAGGCAACGAUGCGUAGCCGACCGGAGAGGGUGAUCGGCCACACUGGAGCUGAGACACGGUCCAGACUCCUACGGGAGGCAGCAGUAGGGAAUCGUACGCAAUGGGCGAAAGCCUUACGGAGCAACGCCGCGUGAGUGAUGAAGGUCUUCGGAUCGUAAAACUCUGUUAUUAGGGAAGAACAAAUGUGUAAGUAACUAUGCACGUCUUGACGGUACCGAAUCAGAAAGCCACGGCUAACUACGUG